rnacentral:rRNA from 1 species
UAGCAUAUCAAUAAGCGGAGGAAAAGAAACCAACAGGGAUUGCCUCAGUAACGGCGAGUGAAGCGGCAACAGCUCAAAUUUGAAAUCUGGCUCCUUCGGGGUCCGAGUUGUAAUUUGCAGAGGAUGCGUCGGGUACGGGUCCCUACCGAGUUCCCUGGAACGGGACGCCAUAGAGGGUGAGAGCCCCGUCUGGUAGGAUACCCAGCCCAUGUGACGCUCCCUCGACGAGUCGAGUAGUUUGGGAAUGCUGCUCUAACGGGAGGUAUACUCCUUCCAAAGCUAAAUACCGGCUGGAGACCGAUAGCGCACAAGUAGAGUGAUCGAAAGAUGAAAAGCACUUUGAAAAGAGAGUCAAACAGCACGUGAAAUUGUUAAAAGGGAAGCACUCGCUACCAGACUUGGGUUUGGCGGUUCAACCGGGGCCACGCCCCGGGGCAUUCCGCCAGCUCAGGCCAGCAUCAGCUUUCCGUCGGGGGCAAAGACGUCGGGAAUGUGGCUCCCCCUCGGGGGAGUGUUAUAGCCCGGCGUGUCAUACCCUUCGGGGGGCUGAGGUACGCGCUUCUGCAAGGAUGCUGGCGUAAUGGUAGCUAGUGACCCGUCUUGAAACACGGACCAAGGAGUCAACCUUAUGUGCGAGUGCCCGGGCGUAAAACCCCAGCGCGGAAUGAAAGUGAACGUAGGUGAGAGCUUCGGCGCAUCACCGACCGAUCCUGAUGUCCUCGGACGGAUUUGAGUGAGAGCAUAUAGGGUUGGACCCGAAAGAAGAUGAACUAUGCGUGUGUAGGGUGAAGCCAGAGGAAACUCUGGUGGAGGCUCGCAGCGGUUCUGACGUGCAAAUCGAUCGUCAAACAUGCGCAUGGGGGCGAAAGACUAAUCGAAUCUUCUGGUAGCUGGUUUCC